rnacentral:rRNA from 1 species
UACGGAGGGUGUAAGCGUUAUCCGGAUUCACUGGGUUUAAAGGGUGCGUAGGUGGUUUUGUAAGUCAGUGGUGAAAGCCCGGAGCUCAACUCCGGAACUGCCAUUGACACUGCUUAACUUGAAUCAACUUGAGGUGGAUGGAAUAUUACAUGUAGCGGUGAAAUGCUUAGAUAUGUAAUAGAACACCGAUUGCGAAGGCAGUUCACUAAGGUUGUAUUGACACUGAGGCACGAAAGCGUGGGGAUCAAACAGG